rnacentral:tRNA from 1 species
CUUCAAAGCCCUAAGCAAGUAUAAUUUACUUAAUUCCUG